AUGCCAUGAUGCAUGCAAAGUCUCAUAAUGUCUUUGUACCUUUCUCAGGAUUUAAAGAUGGAUUCUUCAUUAGCUUGUCUAAAAUAAGUGAUUUCGUUUGUUAAAACU